ensembl:snRNA U4 U4 spliceosomal RNA
AUCCUUUCGCAAAGGAAAUAUCGUAGCCUAUGAGGUCCAUCCGAGGCGUGAUGAUUGCUGGUUGAAAACUUAACCCAAUACCCCGCCGGGAUGACUUAAAAUAUAGUCAGCCCUGGCAAUUUUUUUUUAGUUUAGUAAGAG